AGUGAACGCUGGCGGUAGGCCUAACACAUGCAAGUCGAACGGCAGCACAGUAAGAGCUUGCUCUUACGGGUGGCGAGUGGCGGACGGGUGAGGAAUACAUCGGAAUCUACUUUUUCGUGGGGGAUAACGUAGGGAAACUUACGCUAAUACCGCAUACGACCUACGGGUGAAAGCAGGGGAUCUUCGGACCUUGCGCGAUUGAAUGAGCCGAUGUCGGAUUAGCUAGUUGGCGGGGUAAAGGCCCACCAAGGCGACGAUCCGUAGCUGGUCUGAGAGGAUGAUCAGCCACACUGGAACUGAGACACGGUCCAGACUCCUACGGGAGGCAGCAGUGGGGAAUAUUGGACAAUGGGCGCAAGCCUGAUCCAGCCAUACCGGGUGGGUGAAGAAGGCCUUCGGGUUGGAAAGCCCUUUUGUUGGGAAAGAAAAGCAGCAGGUUAAUACCCCGCUGUUCUGACGGUACCCAAAGAAUAAGCACCGGCUAACUUCGUG
rnacentral:rRNA from 1 species